rnacentral:rRNA from 1 species
UACGUGCGGCCCAAACGUUAUUCGGAUUUACUGGGCUUAAAGAGUUCGUAGGCGGCGCGGUAAGUCGGGUGUGAAAUCUCGGAGCUUAACUCCGAAACUGCAUUCGAUACUGCCGUGCUUGAGGACUGGAGAGGAGACUGGAAUUUACGGUGUAGCGGUGAAAUGCGUAGAUAUCGUAAGGAAGACCAGUGGCGAAGGCGGGUCUCUGGACAGUUCCUGACGCUGAGGCACGAAGGCCAGGGGAGCAAACGGG